rnacentral:tRNA from 1 species
CGAAUUAGAGCUUGGUUAAGCGUUUUAUUUACACUAAAAGGAGGGCCGUAAGGCCUAAUUUGA